UACAGAGGUCCCAAGCGUUGUUCGGAUUCAUUGGGCGUAAAGGGUGCGUAGGCGGCGCGGUAAGUCGGGUGUGAAAUCUCGGGGCUUAAACUCCGAAACUGCAUUCGAUACUGCCGUGCUUGAGGACUGGAGAGGAGACUGGAAUUUACGGUGUAGCGGUGAAAUGCGUAGAUAUCGUAAGGAAGACCAGUGGCGAAGGCGGGUCUCUGGACAGUUCCUGACGCUGAGGCACGAAGGCCAGGGGAGCAAACGGG
rnacentral:rRNA from 1 species